rnacentral:rRNA from 1 species
UGCAGUCGAGCGGCAGCACGGGUACUUGUACCUGGUGGCGAGCGGCGGACGGGUGAGUAAUACCUAGGAAUCUGCCUGGUAGUGGGGGAUAACGUUCGGAAACGGACGCUAAUACCGCAUACGUCCUACGGGAGAAAGCAGGGGACCUUCGGGCCUUGCGCUAUCAGAUGAGCCUAGGUCGGAUUAGCUAGUUGGUGAGGUAAUGGCUCACCAAGGCUACGAUCCGUAACUGGUCUGAGAGGAUGAUCAGUCACACUGGAACUGAGACACGGUCCAGACUCCUACGGGAGGCAGCAGUGGGGAAUAUUGGACAAUGGGCGAAAGCCUGAUCCAGCCAUGCCGCGUGUGUGAAGAAGGUCUUCGGAUUGUAAAGCACUUUAAGUUGGGAGGAAGGGCUGUUACCUAAUACGUGAUGGUCUUGACGUUACCGACAGAAUAAGCACCGGCUAACUCUGUGCCAGCAGCCGCGGUAAUACAGAGGGUGCAAGCGUUAAUCGGAAUUACUGGGCGUAAAGCGCGCGUAGGUGGUUCGUUAAGUUGGAUGUGAAAUCCCCGGGCUCAACCUGGGGAACUGCAUUCAAAAACUGUCGAGCUAGAGUAUG